rnacentral:rRNA from 1 species
AGGACGAACGCUGGCGGCGUGCUUAACACAUGCAAGUCGAACGGGGAUCAUCGGGCGGAAGGCUUCGGCCGGAAGGCUGGUGAUUCCAGUGGCGGACGGGUGAGUAACGCGUGAACAAUCUGUCCCAGACAGGGGGAUAACACUUGGAAACAGGUGCUAAUACCGCAUGAGACCACGGUGUCGCAUGGCACAGGGGUAAAAGGAGCGAUCCGGUUUGGGGUGAGUUCGCGUCCGAUUAGCCAGUUGGCGGGGUAACGGCCCACCAAAGCGACGAUCGGUAGCCGACCUGAGAGGGUGAUCGGCCACAUUGGAACUGAGAGACGGUCCAAACUCCUACGGGAGGCAGCAGUGGGGAAUAUUGGGCAAUGGGCGAAAGCCUGACCCAGCAACGCCGCGUGAGUGAAGAAGGCCUUCGGGUUGUAAAGCUCUGUUAUGUGGGACGAAGGAAGUGACGGUACCACAUAAGGAAGCCCCGGCUAACUACGUGCCAGCAGCCGC